GGAGCAGGACAAAUGACCGCCGCCUUGCCUUUGUGCAGGGGGGAGGAAAGUCCGGGCUCCGUAGGACAGGGUGCUGGGUAACUCCCAGUCCUGGUGACAGGAAGGAAAGUGCCACAGAAAAAAAACCGCCCCCUCCGAUUUUCUGCAUAUCGGCGGGAGUAAGGGUGAAACGGUGAGGUAAGAGCUCACCAGUUCCGCCGGUGACGGCGGGAGCUAGGUAAACCCCACCCGGAGCAAGACCAAAUAGGGGAACACUUGAGGGUGGUCCGCCCGAGUUCCCGGGUAGGUCGCUUGAUCUCGAUGGUAACGUCGAGGCUAGAGGAAUGGUCAUUGUCCCAGAAGCGGGUAACUGCUUUGGGAAACAGAACCCGGCUUACGGCCUGCUCUGACA
rfam:Desulfobacteraceae bacterium 4484_190.2 ex4484_190.2_scaffold_10177, whole genome shotgun sequence.